rnacentral:antisense_RNA from 1 species
CUGGCGUGGACGAGGCGGGGCUCGGGGCGCGUGGUCGCUGUAGCCGCGCGGGGAUCUGGGGUUUCUCGGGGACGGCGGCGGCGGCAGCGGUGGGCGGACCGUGGCGCGGGGACGAGCGUCCGGUCAGCGGCGUGUCGGAGCCGGUGUCACCUGCGGGAGAGCAGGGCGGGAGAGGGCAGCGGCCGGUCAGCCUCCGGAGAGCCCCAGGCGGCAGGGGAGGCCUCGCCGGGGCCGUCACCUGCUGGGUGCCCUGGAAGGUUAGGGUCACCUGGAAUAGGGUCACCGGGAAGGUUAGGGUCACGUGCCUUUCAGGUUGCAGGCGCUUCCCCCACAUCCAUGACCCCACACGCCACAGGCAGCACAGCUUGGCCGCUUUCUUGUUCUGGUUGAGCCCCAGCUUGGUCGACUUGAAGGACUCCAGGCGCUUCCGCAUGGUCCUGUGGAAGAUUUCCCGGUCCUGCUUCUCAUCCUCGGUGGGCGUGAGCUCGUGUCGGCUGUACAGAUGCUUGUACUGCGGGAUCAGGCACGGAGGUCACAGCUGUGCCCAGCGCCGGACACUCUCGCCCUCCUGCCGCAGGAGCUGAGCACGGAUUCCCCGUGGUCCCAGGAGGGGACGAGGAAGCCGCCCCACAGGGAUCCCUGCGGGCUUCUCCAGCCCACAGCCCGCGGUGCCCACCUCCUGCCGCGGCUUGUACAGGCCGGGAGCCACCCCAGCCCCGUGUGUGACUCUCAGAUCCCGAGGCUGGGCUCCUCCCCAGGGAGGCUGCAUGGCUGUGGCACAUACAGGAGGAGGCCCUAAAACCCCAUUGGUCUCAUGUCCAGCACUGAAUCAGCCAGUGCCCGAGCCUGCUGCAGCCCCAACCCAGCAGAGCAAGUGGCUCUGCUACCUCAGCCACGUAGCUGAUGGCAUCCUUCAGGUUCAGCUCGUGGAAGACAUUCAGGAUCCGGUCUCGAGACUUCUGGGCCGACCGUCUCAUGAGGACCCUGCUGAGGAACUUCCUGUCGAAGUGGGACCACCUGUAGGGACAGAUCUCGGGUGUGAGCCUCAGGUGACAGGUGCCCUAGAGCCCACCGGACAUGUGGCCCGGCCCCUUCUCUCCUGAAUUUCAUUUGCUAUAGCGACUCUGCAGGCAUGUUUAAAAUGAGGGAAGCAGCCCCUGCCGCACGCCCAGGCCGUCCGCCGUUUUCACGCCUGUCCUGUUGGAUGGAGGCUGUUAGAUGCAUUUGAAACUGCAUGCCGCCUCCUCCAGAGGGUGGCUCAGGACAGGCCUAACAGAAUUAGAGUAUUCGCUGGUUAUCCGGAUCAGAAGGGACGGUGGCCCGGACGAACUUAGCAGAAACUCUGGGGCACAAGGAGGUGAUGCCUCUCACUCUUG